CCUGAGCGUCGUGGGAUGUUUAGCAGCAUCCCUGACCUCUACCCAUGAGAUCCCAGUAGCCUCCCUCCCUUAGUUCUGACAACCGAAAGGAUUUCCAGAAACUGCCCGAUACGCCCUGAGGGCAAAAUCACCCCUGGCUGGAAUCCCUGCUCUGAAGGUCUGGGCUCUGCCUGCGCCUGUGAUUCCAGGAAGCAUCAUGGCCUAUUGACGAUGCAUCAGGCGGAGCCUGAGUUGGUCGAUCGCAUCCUCCAGAAGCCGCAGCCCGUGUAAUGAGCAGACGCCUGUCCUUUACCGCCUUGGUUGUGUGUGGGACGCCACGGGGACUCGUGCAAACCGGCAGCCCAGGGCCUGCUCCGGGCCAGCUCUCCACUGACUCAGCGCUCCUGAGGACUGAUCUCGGCCUCCUCUGAGUUAUUAUAAAGUUAUUAAAAACUAAAAUCAUUGAUGGCCCGGAACUGACUCUGCCUCUUCUUAAUAGGCUCACUAGCAAAUUACAAUAAAAAUAACCUGGGGCUUAUGAAGCUAUUAGUAAAAUGGGCCGUUUACUGUCACCUGGGGACAUGUUACUGUACCGUUUCAGCAUCAAUAUCUGAGAUGAGGUCCAUGGGAAAAGGUGACCAGAGCUGCCACUGAGACAGUUAAUCGGCUAAGAUGUGUCACUCACCGAGCUGAAACCAAAGCCACAGCUACGGGUCUAGCGCUGACCUAGGAAUUCAUUGCAAAAGAGGCAGGAGUGGUUUACUGCAGUGCUGACUGUCCCCUGGGUUCAGAGCAGGCCUGUCCCCGCCCAACAGGCUGAGGCGCGGGGAGAGUGGCCGGUCUCUCACCAAGACAGUGCUGCCGAGUCUGAGUCCGGAACACCAGCGGAGGGACCAAGUCACUCACUCUAAUGACUGGAAUUUCACCACCAUAAACCAGCAGGAGGGCUGAUCCGGUGCAGAUCAGCGAAAGUGGCAUAAAAACGUCGGGCAGCUGGUUAGCAGGGAUGCACAGAUGUUUGUUUCCUCCUCCCGAGAACUGCCUCUCAGCCUCCUCAAAACAGUAUUCCUGCAUUUCCUUUGUCAGCCCCGGGGGUGGGUCCCUGGGCUGGAGGCCAGCUUUGGGCCCCUCCACGUGUCACAGUCCCGCUGCCCCUGCUCGGUAAUCCCGGGUAAAUCCCGAGCCUUCCCCCGGUCAGGAAACACACCCGAGACCUGAUUACACAAGAUGCAGGAGGAGCUCUGAGCAGAGAUGAAAUGUGGGGAUCGGCCACGUCGUCAUUCGUCAUCCUGUCUCAGCAAGUUCGUUUGCAGAGAGUAACUUGACAGUCCUUUCAGAAUUUGGAACAGCCGCACAUCAUGUGCCCUAGAGGGAGGUAUUAAUGGAUGAGGCGGCAGCCCUGUGGUUCACUUAAUUAAAAUCACUUGUUCCUGCAAUACUUACGGGUUAAGCACUCAUCCUGCAAUUCCUGCGCCCAGGGCAGGGCUGGAGGGGGUCCUGGGCUCUCUCUGCAGGAGCUGUUUCACACUUGGGCUCCCCACAUGCUCGGAACACGUGGUGCUUCAAGUCUCCGUGUUCACGCCUGCACGUGAGUGCGUUGUGCGCCGGGAGAGGCUUCACAGAAAUGCGUCCAGGCCUGAGCUAAACGUGGCCGCCCCUGGCCCCUGGGGGAGCCUGGCCCCGGCCCAGCGUCUGUCCUUCACUGAACACAGUGGGCCGUGCCCAGAUCGCAGAAUAAGAGGCCACAGGAGAGAUGCAGGGCAUCCGACUGGUCCAGCCACCUCCUUGCAUGUGGGGCAGGAGCCCGAGAUGAUCCCCAUUCUACAGACGAGGAAGCCAGGCUCUGAGCGGGCCCGUGACUUGCUGAGAUCCACAGCUGCUCGUGGCAGGGGUGGGACUGCGACCCAGGACUGUGUGACUCCACAGGGCCCCGCCUUCUUCUGCACCCUCCUCAGAGGGAGUAUUCCACCCCGUGACAAUCAGGUUUUCCUCACAUUAAAGAAAGGAAAAUGUAAAUUGUCAGGAGAGUGAUUCUCUAAUGAGAUGCUCAAGGGAAUUUCUACAACUUUGAGCAUUAACAGAAAUGCUAAUAGCUAAUGUUAAUAGCUAAUAUUAAUAGCUAAUGUUAACAUCUGCAAAGUGUAAGCACUUUGCUGGGAUUCACUGUUUAAACUUUAAACAAACUUAUGUGAGAUGAUUUUAUGUGACAUCAUUACCCCUGUUUUACAGAUGUGGAAAUUUCAUCAGGGAGAAAAGAAAUCACUUGCUCCAAAACCGCGCGUCCAGAAUUCUGUUUCCCUGGAAAUACGCCCAGGAUGGGGAUUUUCAUGCCUAUGGGAAGUUGCAUUGUUGGGCCUCAUUGUCCUAAUUCUUCACCCUCCCUUCCCUGGAUCCUUGCCCUUUGUCACGUGACUUUGUAGGUUUCCCGUCUAGAUGUGGAGUCUCUUGUCUCGUUGAGGUUGGAUUUGGUUAUGUGAUUUGCUCUGCCUGAUGGCAUGUGGGCAGAGGGUUGAAUGUGCUUGCCCAGCUGGUCCUGACCUCCUGUGCUCCGCCUUCUCUAUGAGAAGAAUAUGCCUCUGGUGUCACUGGUCCUGGGAAGAUGAGAGACUCGUGGACAGACCCGGACUCAACCCUUAGCUUGAAGCCAAGUAAAGCCAGGCCCGGCCUGGAUGUGAUGAACCCCAGCAGACGUGUAGACGUGAGAAUGAGAAAUAAAUGCUUAUUGUUGUUUGCAA